CCAAGAUCCAGAUUCCAACAAGGUCAGCCUCCUGAGAAGGGCAUUUGGUUGCGUUCCAGCACACCUCUUUAAGCCAGUCUCCAGGUGCCAGUUAAAUGGCUAACGUUGGGUCCAAACAUCUGGAACCAGGAAGAAGGAGGCCAUAGUACAGUUCAAGGUCAUUUAAGAGAGUUGCGAAGACUGCCGCUGCGUCCUGCUUGCCGUCUGCUGUACACGGUGGGGUGUCACUCCAGGACGUUGCUUCGGACAUGUAAGAUCCCCUGUCCAACCUAUCACCGAUGUCUCUGUCACUGUCUCUGGGGUCUUUCUUCAGUCUUGCAGCUGGCCAAUUACAAGACUUUCAGGCCUGUGGGGUGCAGCCAAACAGAUGAUCAUGCAUGUAGUUGCUUCAGCAGUGUAGUUCUGUCUCACUGUGGACCAUUCAAGGUUUUGGAUGAUGUUGUAUUUUAGCGAUGUUGCACCGUCUAGAUCUCUUGCGUAUGUGUCAAUAACUUCUUUUUAUUGUUUAAACCUACUUGAGUUGGGUUUUCAGUUAUAAGAGGAUGAUUCCAACUGAAGCACCCUACCAUAGAUGUAUCCAACCAUUCUGCAAUCACCUGUUGACACAUUAUCCUCUCUUUCUCACUCUCUUUCCCACACAAAAGCUGCAACCAUCCCAGGCAAGGGCCAUGGUUUGUUUGAUGAUGACUGUGUGAUCACUCUGUACUCUCACUGUGGCUCCAUUUACUACAGGACCUUAACCAAGAUGAUACAAACUUCCUUUCCUCCGUUGCUGAUAACGCUCAAGAAAAAUGAGAACACCUAGGUUUAAUAAGCAAUGGAAAUACCAUUUUUUAAAUAAAGAAAACCUCUAAAAGCUACACAACUGCCGAUAUGAAUUUUUGCAUAUUUGCAUUGUUCUUUUUGAUGUUCGAAUCAUCCCAUAUUUGACCACAGGGAGCCUCUUCAGGUCGGCUCCUGUGUCCUUUUAAUCUGACCCCAUGGACUUUGAUACCUUCCUUGUUCAUCUGUCCCAGCCCUGGAAAGGCCGUUUCUCAGGAGCCCUGGUUCCCUUUAGCAGAGAAUGAUAUUUAGAGAGUAAGAUCUAGGCAAGAUAGAUACACUUUCUAAACACAGAAAUUACAUGAGUUUUCAAAAGAUCUGUUUUUACCAUAACUAGUGGGCUUUUCGUUAAGUCAGUUAAUGACCUGAAAUCAUUGGAAUUUAGGGUGGUUUUGGAUUAAAGCAUUUUCUCAACCUCAGCACUAUUGACAUUUGGGGCUGGGAAAUGCUUUGUUGUGGAGACUGCCCUGUGCGUUGUAGGGUGUUUAGCAGCAUCCCUCGCCUCUACACACUAGAUGCCAGUAGUACCCUCCCAGCUGUGACAACCAAAAAUGUCUCCAGACAUUGCCGAAUGCCCCUUGGGGUGGCAAAAUCAUCCCCCAUUAAGAACCACUGGAUGGCCUGUGGCUUCUGUGGAAAACAUCCUGGAACAAACCAGAGAGACUCUGGCCCUGUUGCAACAUCCUUAACAGUUUCCUGCCUCUAUUUCCCUGUGUGUCUAUUGGGACAAUGGCUACAGGAUAAAACAACACAUUGUGGGAAGCAGUUUGACCUGCAAAGACUCAUCGGCGUGAAAGUGAGGAGCAGACAUUACAUCACAGGCAGCACCACACUGAAGCCACAUGUCGGUUUUUGCAAACUCUGCUGAGAUAGUACAGCUUCUGAUUGAACUGACUCAAGUCCUGAAGAUUACUCAAACUCUUGUGUUCCCACCAGGCCUCUUUUUAGUGUCAGCCUUAUAUAAGAGCUUUCAUUUUACUGUCACCAAGAGAAAGUCCCAUUCAAUUCAUACCAGAUGCUGAGUCGUCGUGAAUCAAUACAACAUCAUCCAAAAACCACCAAAAUGAAUCAUAAGGACAAACAGGACUUUUUCUCCCAGCAAAACAGUGACUAAAAUAGUGUUUUGCCCUUUCAGAAAAAAAAAAGUUACAAGGUUAAUAAGACAAGGCUUCAGGCCCUGCUGGUGU